ACUAAAUAGAUACCCAGGUAGUCCACGCCCUAAACGAUGUCAACUGGUUAUUGGGAAUUCAUUUUCUCAGUAAACGAAAGCUAAACGCGUGAAGUUGACCGCCUGGGGAGUACGGCCGCAAGGCUAAAACUCAAAGGAAUUGACGGGGACCCGCACAAGCGGUGGAUGAUGUGGUUUAAUUCGAUGCAACGCGAAAAACCUUACCCACCUUUGACAUGUACGGAACUUGCCAGAGAUGGCUUGGUGCCCGAAAGGGAGCCGUAACACAGGUGCCGCAUGGCUGUCGUCAGCUCGUGUCGUGAGAUGUUGGGUUAAGUCCCGCAACGAGCGCAACCCUUGCCAUUAGUUGCUACGAAAGGGCACUCUAAUGGGACUGCCGGUGACAAACCGGAGGAAGGUGGGGAUGACGUCAAGUCCUCAUGGCCCUUAUAGGUGGGGCUACACACGUCAUACAAUGGCUGGUACAGAGGGUUGCCAACCCGCGAGGGGUAGCUAAUCCCACAAAGCCAGUCGUAGUCCGGAUCGC
rnacentral:rRNA from 1 species